rnacentral:rRNA from 1 species
CGUGUAGCCGGGCCGACAAGUCAGAUGUGAAAUCCACGGGCUUAACCCGUGAACUGCAUUUGAAACUGUUGGUCUUGAGUAUCGGAGAGGUAACCGGAAUUCCUAGUGUAGCGGUGAAAUGCGUAGAUAUUAGGAAGAACACCAGUGGCGAAGGCGGGUUACUGGACGACAGCUGACGGUGAGGCGCGAAAGCGUGGGGAGGCAAAACA